AAUCAACGCUGGCGGCGUGCCUAACACAUGCAAGUCGAACGCGAAAAGGGCUUCGGCUCUUAGUAGAGUGGCGAACGGGUGAGUAACACGUGGGUGACCUACCUUUGAAUGGGGGAGUAACGUCCCGAAACGGGACGGCUAAUACCGCAUAACAUCCUGCCUCUGAACAGGUGGAGAUCAAAGCCGGGGAUCGCAAGACCUGGCGUUUGGAGAGGGGCCCGCGUCUGAUUAGCUAGUUGGGAGGUAACGGCCCACCAAGGCGACGAUCAGUAUCCGGCCUGAGGAGGGGC
rnacentral:rRNA from 1 species